rnacentral:misc_RNA from 1 species
GAUGAAGAACGCAGCAAAAUGCGAUAAGUAAUGUGAAUUGCAGAAUUCAGUGAAUCAUCGAAUCUUUGAACGCACAUUGCGCCCGCUGGUAUUCCGGCGGGCAUGCCUGUUCGAGCGUCAUUUCAACCCUCAAGCCCCCGGGUUUGGUGUUGGGGAUCGGCUCUGCCUUCUGGCGGUGCCGCCCCCGAAAUACAUUGGCGGUCUCGCUGCAGCCUCCAUUGCGUAGUAGCUAACACCUCGCAACUGGAACGCGGCGCGGCCAUGCCGUAAAACCCCAACUUCUGAAUGUUGACCUCGGAUCAGGUAGGAAUACCCGCUGAACUUAAGCAUAUCAAUAAGCGGAGGA